UACGUAGGGUGCGAGCGUUGCCCGGAUUUAUUGGGCGUAAAGAGCGUGUAGGCGGCCUGACAGGUCUGCUGUGAAAACUCGAGGCUCAACCUCGAGAUGUCGGCGGAAACCGUCUGGCUAGAGUCCGGAAGAGGAGAGUGGAAUUCCUGGUGUAGCGGUGAAAUGCGCAGAUAUCAGGAAGAACACCCGUGGCGAAGGCGGCUCUCUGGGACGGUACUGACGCUGAGACGCGAAAGCGUGGGGAGCGAACAGG
rnacentral:rRNA from 1 species